rnacentral:rRNA from 1 species
UGCCAGCAGCCGCGGUAAUACGUAGGUGGCAAACGUUGUUCGGAAUCACUGGGCAUAAAGAGUUUGUAGGCGGUGAAGUAAGUCAGGUGUGAAAUCCCAGGGCUCAACCCUGGAAUGGCACUUGAUACUGCUUGACUAGAAUAAUGGAGAGGUAAGUAGAAUUCAUGGUGUAGCGGUGAAAUGCGUUGAUAUCAUGGAGAAUACCAAUGGCGAAGGCAGCUUACUGGCCACUUAUUGACGCUGAGAAACGAAAGCUAGGGUAGCGAAAGGGAUUAGAUA